CUCCAGUCAGAUCAGAUAAAAAUGGUGUGAAAACACAGGAGAGGAAAGGAAUCGUUAACUUUGGAUUUCCAGUUUCAAAACCACCUCAAUUCUUGUCUAACAAGCCGUCAAAGAACAAGAAAGCCGCUAAAAAGACGACAACGAGCAAAAAAACAAAAAAAGAAAACAGCAGCAAAUCAAAAACAAGUAAAUGUUCCGCUCAACAAAAUAAACCGGUGACGGUUCCGCCAGAUGCUAUAAUACUUUUAGAACAGAUCGUAGACGCUGCUGGAGGAGAUAAAGAUGAGUCGGAUGACGACAAUAGACGGAGUCGGUCAUGUAUCAGUAAGAAAGAGAAGAAAGUGGUAGAGAAACCAGUUAAAUUAGAAGAAGAAAUAAGACCGGUUAUAAAUACAGAAGAUACGAUCUAUGAUCAACCUUCUACCAUAUUUGAUGAUAAUAAAUACGAUGACACACCUGAGUUACCCCAGGUGGACUCCCAAUUACCUGAGUUACCUGUAUUCCCCACACCUGAACCACCGAAAGAACCCAAAACUCCACAAAGUAAACAACGCAGUCUCAUCUCGGCGCCUUCAUCUCUUAAAAGCAGUAAACUGGAUUCGGAUGACGAGAGUCGAGUACGACCCGAGUUUGAUAUUGGUGUUGUCAUGGAUGUACAUACUGACGAAUCAACACCCAAGCCUAAACCACAGUCAUGGUUACAAGGUAGAUUGGCUUUAUCUCAACAGUCAAGUAGAUUUGAGUUACCUAUGGAUAUGAAACUCUUAGAAUCUAUGUCACCAUUAGAGUAUUUACGGCGACAUUGUGUUAUAUCAACAAGAAGACAGAAUCUCUACCAGAAAAUGUUUGUAAAACAUAAAGAUAAAACAGGGGUUAUACUUUAUAAGGAUUUAGAGAAAGCGCUAAAUGAUGUAUUAAUAAAUGCUGUAAAUGCCCAGAGAUUGGAAUAUUUUAGUCAGUUAUUACAGAUACCAGAAGAUAUUAAACUAGAUUGUCGUCUGUUCUCUUGUAUAGCUGCUCUUAUAGAACGAUUAUUAUAUCCUGUAUUCUUAACGGAUGAUACGGCCGAUCUCCCAGGAUUCCAGAAAGAGAAAAUAGAAUGUGCUGAUUUCUGUGCUUUAGAUUGGAAGUUUCAUGGAGUAAAGGUCAACCCUCCAGUAGAAAGACUGUUAAAAUCUAUAGCAUAAAUAACUACCCAGUAUUAACAACGUAGUAUCACAGUCUGGGGGAAUAAAUGACCACCGAGUAUUCAUACGGUAUUGUCA